GAUGAACGCUGGCGGCGUGCCUAAUACAUGCAAGUCGAGCGAACAGACGAGGAGCUUGCUCCUCUGACGUUAGCGGCGGACGGGUGAGUAACACGUGGAUAACCUACCUAUAAGACUGGGAUAACUUCGGGAAACCGGAGCUAAUACCGGAUAAUCUAUUGAACCGCAUGGUUCAAUAGUGAAAGACGGUUUUGCUGUCACUUAUAGAUGGAUCCGCGCCGCAUUAGCUAGUUGGUAAGGUAACGGCUUACCAAGGCGACGAUGCGUAGCCGACCUGAGAGGGUGAUCGGCCACACGGGAACUGAGACACGGUCCAGACUCCUACGGUAGGCAGCAGUAGGGAAUCUUCCGCAAUGGGCGAAAGCCUGACGGAGCAACGCCGCGUGAGUGAUGAAGGUCUUCGGAUCGUAAAACUCUGUUAUUAGGGAAGAACAAAUGUGUAAGUAACUAUGCACGUCUUGACGGUACCUAAUCAGAAAGCCACGGCUAACUACGUG
rnacentral:rRNA from 1 species